UCGGACUCCUGAGCUCAAGCAUUCCUCUCACUUCGGCCUCCUGAAGUGCCACAGGUGUGAGCAGCCAUGCCCAGCUAUAGCCUCGGUGUCUUCAUCUGAAAAAGAAGAUGACAACACCCACUUUGUGGUGCUGUUGUCAGGCUCUAAUAAGCUGAAUACUCUAAGACGUGCAGCUUUCCAAACCAGAACCCUUAGAGACAUUCCUGGAAAUCUUUGGAAAUGGAAUGAAGAGAAGACUGUUCUUAACCUGUGGUAACAGCCCUGGGGAAGGGGACUUGGAGCCGUCAGCAGCCAUGUUCCUGGCUGUGUGGACAAGGUGCUAUGAUGAAUUGCUGUCCUCACUCAACCAACCCAGGACCACCGGGAACAAAGCCUACUCUUACAAAGCCUACAAAGUGAUGUUCAUUGACACAUUGCAGAGACCACACACCAGCAGAACCAUAGGGUAUCUCCCCAAACAAAGGAAAAGAAAAGAAUUACAGUACGGGGCAUGGGGAAGAGUGGAAUUUAAGCGAAAUGUAUUUUGACAGACUCAAAGCAAGGUAGGUCUAAAUGUAAAGGUAUCAUCCUAAGUUCUGGACUAUGAAGCAGUUUGCUGGGAACAAAUGGAACAAAUGGAACACUAUGAAGUGUUUGCUGGGAAGCAAUAAGACUAUUAUCCAUAGCCGUGGGCUACUGUGUCCAGAAACCCCUCCUCCAAAGCUCUCUCCCUAGGGUUUAAAUCAAGGCUACUUCUCUCUCAGUGACUUAGAUCCUCCAGGCAAGGGUGAGAUAUUUCACUCUAACAUCAUUUCAAACAGCAGUGUUUCUGAUAGUCUAGGAUUUUAGAGAAAAAAGGUUUCUCAGUGAGUCAGAAGACACUACUCACUCCAAGAAGGGGGUUUUUGUGACCCUUUACCACUACAGCAUGCCCCUUGCGAGAAAUAUUAUUUAUUGUUAACUUUGAAUCUGGUUUUCUCUUUUAUUCCAGCCUGAUGAAUGCCCAAGGAAGAUUUUAAUAGUCCAGGCUAAUUUUUACUUUCUUUCGUCUCAAUGGGGGUGACAGACAAUCAGGUCAUUACAACACAGUGGGAGAAGCAGCUAUGAUGAGGGUUUAAUUUAGACUUCAUUUAGGUCAGGGAAGACUGUCUGCAGGAGGCAGAACUCCCAGCUGGGAAAAGCAGAAGCUGCCCCAACGAAAGUGGGAAGGGGUGUUACAGCACAGUCAGGACUUGGGCAGAGGCACAAGAGUGGGGCACAGGGUGGUAAAUUGGAGGAAUCACAAGUGUCAUUGAAGACGAAUCAACAGAAUGUCUAGAAUGCUGGGGAGGACUGCAUAACACAGUUAAUCAAAACUGACACCAAACUCUUCUCUGGCUAAGGUUAGAAAGCACUGGUCACCGGGAGUGUGUGUUCUCUGUUCAGGGGAGAGUCGUUAGCAUGGUCUUCCUAUGCACAUACAUGUGAAAGGCAAGUAGCCCCCAGAGGGGAAGUGCUAAGGGGGAGUUCCCCUGAGGUUUCCUAAGGCACCUGGUUUGCAAAACUGAUCCCUGUAUGGAAAGUGGAGCCAUUUGUAGACUUGCCCUGAACCAUCCCAUCCUGUUUCCUGAGAACAUUUAGGGAAUCAGGCUGGCCUUUGACCAAUGCUGAGUUUCAGGAAAGGGCGAGAACAACCAAGAAAUAAAACUGCCAUGAAGACACAGGGUGUUCCUGAGAACUGGAUAUACCAGUGGGUGGUAUCAUUCAAGGUCCUGGGAGGGAACAGACUGCACAGUGAAACCGGAUAGUCCUCUUUCUUGUCUCUUCACUGGCCAAAACCGAUCAGGAACAGAGGGCAAGUAGGGCAAGGAUUUAAUUGGUUCAGGUGGACCUGGGCAUCGGUGGUCAUGUAGCUCUGCAGAGCACUGCGGUGUGUGGUCAGCACUGAGGGGGCCUCUCUUCCCUGGCCAAACCCAGUCAAGAACAGAGGGCAAGGAGGGCUGCCAAGGCUGUCCCUGGAGGUCAGCCUCCAGGACAGGGAGCAAGGUGGAAAAGGGAGAACGGUGGAUUUGGAGGGACAAAGUAGGAAGUUCUAGAACAGGGGCUCAUGCUAAGGCCUCUUUCUGACUUGUUCACCUUGGCACAGAGGUUUUUCUCUGCAAAACAACAGCUGGAUUUGGGAAAGUGAGAUAAAAGGGGUUGUCAUUUACAGCACAGCAGGGGAACAGCAGACCCUAGCACUGUGGACCUGAUGUCCUCAACAAACUGCCACCUUUGGAGACAGGUGCUAGAAAGCAUUUAAAAUUACUUACUAGUUUUAACUUAUAUUAUUUAAAAUGAUUUCUUAUUGAAUUUAAAAAAUUAAUGAGUGUCCACGUCGGCACCCUUUGUUAGAGAAGCAGAUCAUGUUAGAGGGGUGACAGCCAAGUCUGGAACCCGAAGCAAGUCUGGAAGGACACGAGUGUCAGGUGGAGACUUGAUCCUGAGGGCAGUGUGGACCUGGAGGGCCUCCAGCAGGGAGUAGCAUGUGGUACUGGCUGCUUUUGCUAGAUUAUUGCUGUGAUAGGCAAACCCCUGCCCCUUCCCUUACAUUACCAGGAAGAAUUGCAUAUUAAUUCUGCUGUCACCUGACUCCCUUGCCCAGAUGGGGAAGACAACUGUUAAGCACUAGGGAUGAAAAGGAGAAGAAAAGAAAGGGGAGUCAGAAAACAGGGACAAAAAACAGUACUUGCUUUUCAAGUUUGAGCCUUCAAGAUACCGGUUGGAGAACUAGAAAAUCUUGUUUCCAGGCAUCACAUUCUUCAGUUCCUCUGCAUUUUUCUAAGCUUUGGAGGAAUGUAUAAACUGGUUUCCAAAAAUGUCCUGUGUUUUCUUUCAACAAAACUAUUGAACACCUGCUAUGUGUCAGGUCUCAAGAGAACAACAGAGAAGAAAACGUGGGCUGCCCGAGAGCCCCUGACAGCCUUGCAGAGCCACAGAUACAUGCGCAGUUAUUUGCAAGUGUAUGGCUGAGCCUCUAAAACAAUGCAGGCCAUGUUUUAGACCAAAGAAAAGGAUAGCUAGCAUUAUUAUAGGUGCAUAAAAUUGAGUAAAUUAUAGACCAUGUUUCAUGGUGCUUAUCAUCAUUAGCCUGUUUUAUUUUUUACAAUUCAAUUCCCACUUAUGUUUCUCCCCAUAGACAUCCACUUUGAUGGACUUAAUAAGUAUCCUUGGAUAGGUUGGUAUUUUAUAGGAUCUUUAUAAAAUCAUACAGACAUGAUGUCACGCCAUAGAUCUUAAUCUGCCGCUUCUUUCACUCAACACUAAUUUUUUUAUUAUUUUAAGUUAUGGGGUACAUGUGCAGAACGUGCA